rnacentral:rRNA from 1 species
GUAGGUGGCAAGCGUUGUCCGGAAUUAUUGGGCGUAAAGCGCGCGCAGGCGGUUCUUUAAGUCUGAUGUGAAAGCCCACGGCUCAGCCGUGGAGGGUCAUUGGAAACUGGAGAACUUGAGUACAGAAGAGGAAAGCGGAAUUCCACGUGUAGCGGUGAAAUGCGUAGAGAUGUGGAGGAACACCAGUGGCGAAGGCGGCUCUCUGGUCUGUAACUGACGCUGAGGCGCGAAAGCGUGGGGGAGCAAACAGGAUUAGAUACCCUGGUAGUCCACGCCGUAAACGAUGAGUGCUAAGUGUUAGGGGGUUUCCGCCCCUUAGUGCUGCAGCUAACGCAUUAAGCACUCCGCCUGGGAGUACGGCCGCAAGGCUG